rnacentral:rRNA from 1 species
AUUGAACGCUGGCGGCAUGCCUUACACAUGCAAGUCGAACGGUAACACGCCGCGAUUUCCUGACGAGUGUUGGACGGGUGAGUAAUGCUACCGAACGUGCCCCCUCGCUGUGGGUCACUACUCGCAACAGUAGCCAAUACCUCAUACCAUCUAUUAUUGUAAGCGGGGGAGCUCAAUGCUUCACGCCGUUUUUGCUGUCGCUGUCAGAUUAGUUAGUUGGUCGGGUAAAGGCUUACCAAGGCAACGCUCUGUAGCUGGUCUGAGAGGAUGACCAGCCACACUGGAACUGAGACACGGCCCAGACUCCUACGGGAGGCAGCAGUAGGGAAUUUUGGACAAUGGGCGAAAGCCUGAUCCAGCAAUGCCGCGUGAAGGAAGAAGGCCUUCGGAUUGUAAACUGCUUUUGUACGGAACGAAACGGUUCUGGUUAAUACCCGGGGCUAAUGACGGUACCGAAAGAGUAAGCACCGGCUAACUACGUG